GAAAAGAUUUAUUGUGUGAUUUAUUUAUUUAUUACAAGAAUACAAGGAGACAAAAUUACAUACACAUUCUAGGCUUCUUAGCAGCUGGUAGUGUGCACAGUCGGCAUAACCACUGAUUUGAGGUACUUAGACUAGUGUCAUAUUCUACACAUCUAAAGUGGAACCAUUGCCCACAGAGAUCGCAUAAAAUCAUGUUGUCGUAUUCUUCUGGCAGUUUACAUUCACAUAACAUAUUAUAAAAACAAUCGCUUGCAAAUUUUAUCAAUAGCAGUGUUAACAAUAGCCGCCACAGUAAUCACUUGCUAACAAUAAACUAUAGGAUUAAUAAAAAAUCUAUGGAAUGUAUUGGGAAGCGUAUUAACUAAGAAAAUUGCAUGAUAUAUAUGUGGCGUGGUUUAUUUAAAUAAUUUCAUGAUACUUUGUCUUUGAUUUUAUUAGUGCCUUAAACAUUUGAGAAUGUAACUAAAACUAAAAGCUUUGUUGUCUUUUUUGAAACGUAUAUUAUUGGAGUAUUGCCUGUUGGCAAGUUCUACCCUUCGCUUGUGAGUCUGAGAUUUACAAACUAUAUUGAAAUAAUGCAAGUAAAAAAUAGUGACGACUUAUAAGCCAUAAUUUUCCGAUAACGACAAAACGUGGAUGCAAAACAAUACCAAAUAAUUACAAUAACCACCACGGUGAUUACUUUUUAACAAUGAGUAUAAGGAUUAACACUGAAAAUGCAAAAUAUGCAUGGUGUGCUGUGAAGCGUCAUAAGUCCUAUUGAUCUACUGUAACUGUGUAAGCCCUUUCGAUAAAUGUAAUUGUAAAUUUGUAUUCUUACAGGGCUUGAAAUAACGUUCCCAAAGUUCCCCGUGACUUUCCCUGCUUUUUUCAGGUUGGAAACCGAAACCCUGCUUUUCCGCUGAUCAUAAGCAAUUUCUUGCCGAUCAUUGCCGAUCGGUGAUCGGUUGUUAUUUCAAGCUCUGUGUUAACAAUUUUGAAUUGAUACUGAUUUCAAAUGAUUAAGGGGCCGAUUACAUGGAGAAAUUUCAACCCCGGGGUUGAACUCAGCCCUGUUAACCGGGUUGAAAUUUUUUGCGAUUACAUGGACGAUUUCAACCCCGGGAUUGAAACGCUAUACUAUACGUUCUCGGCAUCGAUUCUCGGAAGUAAAAAAGCCUUUAUUUUGUUUUUUUGUAAUAAAUAGUCACUACCACGUAUACUCGAAUAACUCAUGAUAAUUUCAGCACUGGGUUGAAACGAUUAC